rnacentral:snoRNA from 1 species
AAGACCAUACUUUCAAGAUCAUUUCUACAGUUCCUUCGUGCUAGAGAAGUUUCUCUGAACGUGUAGAGCACGGAACCCACCAGGGGGAGGCGCAGCGUCCUCUCCGGAGCGUGAAGCCGGUCUUGGUGUCGCUUCGCUGCAACUGCCAUUUGCAAUUGAUGACUGUCCCUCUCUUCCUUUGGGAGAGGGAGAGGCAGAGGACGCUGUCUGAGCCGU